rnacentral:rRNA from 1 species
UACGUAGGGUGCAAGCGUUGUCCGGAAUUAUUGGGCGUAAAGAGCUCGUAGGCGGUUUGUCGCGUCUGCUGUGAAAAACUCAGGGCUUAACCCCUGAGCCUGCAGUGGGUACGGGCAGACUAGAGUGUGGUAGGGGGAGAUCGGAAUUCCUGGUGUAGCGGUGGAAUGCGCAGAUAUCAGGAGGAACACCGGUGGCGAAGGCGGAUCUCUGGGCCAUAACUGACGCUGGAGGAGCGAAAGCACGGGGAGCGAACAGGA